rnacentral:misc_RNA from 1 species
UGCGUGCCGGCCCUGAUGGCC